GUUGAUCCGCAUCUUUCUUGGUGGAUCGAGCCCCUCUCAGCUUUUCUCUUUGACCUAUUCAUUGGAGGGGGUUGCGGAUCAUCUCCAGUUGAGGUGGAUCGCGCGGAUCGAUUGAGAGGAAGCAGAGGAUCAAUGUGCUGUGGAAUUGCCCUGUUGCUGGUCAUUAUAAACUUCCCUUCAUGAAGCUGUGAAGGUCUUGGGUGAGAAGGAAUGGAAGGAGUUGUGGUGUGGAUGGCAUUGGCUAUUAACAGGGAAGAACAAUCCAAUUUGGAUCACUGUUCUCUACAACUUGCAGCUGAUAGGGUUUCGGCUGAAGGAUUGGAGGUCUAUCAAGG